CCAAAACCCUUUUCAAUUGUUUUCUCUUUCAUACUCGAGUCUCUCCAUCAUUCAGAAUAAAUCUCCUUCCUCUCUCUCCAAGCCAAAAUGGUGAUGCUCCACUUUCCUUCUCUGGCGAACUGCUCUCCUUUCCCGUUUCGAUUCAUCUCCUUCUGCUUCGAUUCCAGUCCGAUUCAUCUCCUUUGAUGGUCUUCCUCCUCCGUUCAUCUUCUUCGGCGUGUCCGCGAUUCUGAUUGGCUCCCGGUUUCAUUUUGCAUGUGUUUUUUAUGUGUUGUGCGAUGAACACGGUUUGAUGAUGUUGCUGAGCGGUUUCAUUCACGUUUGAAGUUGUGGUGUUCGGUUUUGAACGUUUGGUGAUGAAUGUUGAGUUGAAACAACUCUGAAUCGGAAAAGCUGGAGAUUCAUCCAAGCUGCACAAUCUUCUUACAAGAUACUUAACAUGGACUAUACUUGAUAUUGGAACUCUAAACUUUUCGCUCUCAUUGCUAAAUCGAUUUCAACAUCACCAUAUCUGUCAAAUUUUUCAUGCUUUAAGUUUUCAAAAUUCAUCGUUUUUUGGUUUACAGUGCACUGAAACGUGAACUGAAGAACAAGCAGAAAGAAGAGAUUUUGAAGAAAAUGGAAGACAAGAAAUCCAGAAAGUUUCUGUUUCGCCUUCUCCUCCUACUGUACAGUUUAUAGUGCAAGUUCAAUGGCAAAAAAGCAUGGUGAUUAAUGGAACAAGCAAAUUGAUUAAUGGAACAAGCAAAUGAGAAUGAAGUUAAGAGAAACCAAAGAUACAUGAAGAUGAUGCCGACGCGGAUUCAUGAUGGAAUUCGUUUUGUCAUUGAAUUUCUAUAGGUUUCGGCUUCUGUUUGUUCUGGUUUUUGUCUAAGUUUUUUAAUAUAUGUAAUUUGGCGUUUGUCAUCGAGACAUCAAACCACAUAACCUACUGGUCAAUCAACAGACACAUCAGUCGAAGAUAUGUGAUUUUGGGAGUGCAAAGAUAUUGGAGGAGAUGAAGCGCUUUGUUUCAAAAGUGGUGGAUCUUAUGAGAGAGGAAAAGUUGUUUUCUUGGCAAGGAGGACCUAUAAUUUUGUUGCAGUAUCAUGGUGGAACAAAUUUUGGCCGCACUGCUGGGGGACCCUUGCAAAUUACAAGUUAUGAUUAUGAUGCUCCAAUCGAUGAGUAUGGUUUGCUGAAUGAGCCAAAAUGGGGUCACUUGAAAGAUCUACAUGCUGCUUUAAAGCUCUGUGAGCCCGCUUUAGUGGCUGCUGACUCACCAACAUAUAUAAAACUUGGUCCAAAGCAGGAGGCACAUGUAUACCAAGCAGAUGUCCACACUGAAGGAUUAAACUUGUCUCUGUCCCAAAUCUCUAGCAAAUGCUCAGCUUUCCUUGCCAACAUUGAUGAACAUAAAGCAGCAGCUGUGACCUUUCACGGUCAAACAUACAUUAUACCACCAUGGUCUGUGAGCAUAUUUGCCAAAUUGCAGGAAUGUGGCUUUCAAUACUGCUAAGGUUGGAGCACAAACUUCAGUCAAAUUUGUAGGGUCUGAUUUGCUUCCAUCUGCAUCUAUUUUUUUGCCAGCCCAACAAUUGGCACACCCCAAUGGCAUCUCCAACAUCUCAAAGUCAUGGAUGACUACGAAAGAGCCAAUAAAUAUAUGGAGUAAGAGCAGUUUCACUGCAGAAGAUAUAUGGGAGCACUUAAAUGUAACAAAAGACCAAUCUGACUAUCUUUGGUAUUCAACCAGAAUAUAUGUUUCAGCUGGUGAUAUCUUGUUUUGGAAGGAAAAUUCUGCUCAUCCAAAACUUACUAUAGACAGUGUUCGUGAUAUACUGCGUGUAUUUGUCAAUGGGCAACUUAUAGGUCAUUAAAUAUCAUGGUACUGAACAUAUGUUUUAUAUGAAGAUGAGUAUUUUUUUAUUCCUUAAAUUAAUGGAAGUUCUAUUCUGAAUAAUGCACUUUGUUGUGUAGUUUCCCUUGCAAGACUCUUUAUUGAAUCUAGAGAAGAAAGAAAAUGAAAAAUAAUUUUAUUCUUGUAAAAAUUUGAGCUUGAGUCUGAUAUUGAUUGAUUCAUAUACUGAAAACUGUACUAUCGAUACUGAAUAACUCAAUGGGAAGAUAACAUUCUCAACAAAGGAUGCUUUCAUUAUUUUAUGGACUUUGGCAGUACAUGUUCAACAAGUUAGAGCUUCAUGUACUCAUUUUAGGGAUUGACAAGGCUGACAAAACGAUUUUGCUUGAGAAGAUGAAGUCGGUGUACACGAAUGUAGAAGGUCUUCCUCCGGAACAAAUUGUGGAAAGCAAUUGCUUCUCCAGGGCGUGGUAUUUUGGCCAUGGAUGAAUCCAAUGCUACAUGUGGAAAGCGGUUGGAUUCAAUUGGACUAGAGAACACCAAAGCUAACCGUCAAGCAUGGCGUAAAAUUAUAUAUGAAGAAAGUGUUAUGAGUUGGUUAAAAUAUAAUUUUUAUGUGUAUGAUUUUAUAGUACUUGAAAUAUUAUGAAUGCACAUGAUAUUGUAUACUUUUUGGUUAAUAUUAAAAAUAUUUUGAGUUAGUUAAAAUAUGAUUUUAUAGUAUUUGCAAUAUUAUGAGUGAAAAUGAAAUAUAACUAAAUGGUGUAUAUGAAAUAGG